ensembl:lincRNA Gm26792 predicted gene, 26792
GAGACAGAAUCUCUUGUUUGUUUGUUUUUGUCUCGUUUUUUGAGAUAACUCUGGCUGUCCUGGAACUCAGAACUCUGACUCUGCCUCCCAAGUGCUGGGAAUAAAGGCAUGCACCACCACUGCCCUGUUUGAGGCAGUAUCUCUUUCUUUUUUUGGGGGGGGGGGGGGGUUAAGACAGGGUUUCUCUGUAUAGCCCUGGGUGUCCUGGAACUCACUUUGUAGAUCAGGCUGGUCAGGGCUACAAAGUAAGACCCUGUCUCAUAAAUGAAUUAAUUGAUAUUAAACUUAACAAUGACUUCCUAUGAUGUUUUCAGAAAGUCUUGAAUCUUUCUGUGGACAGAGUGCACUUCUCCUUACUUACGAGGGCUUUUCUCAGCUAUAGUUAAUGAAUUAUUCAGACCAUGUUUAAUGUUUCUUCCUGUUGUUUUAUGAAGCCGAAAACGACACUCCUGUUUCUCGCCUCCCCUUGCACCCUGCUCCAACCCUAGGUUAUUCACCCAUGUACACUCAACAUCCUUGGGAACUCAAAAUUAAUGACCCCCAUCUGCAUAGAUGAUGGGUGAAGCCCACCGAGUUUAACGGAGCAGCGAGUCACCUGAGUGAACUGCCCAGUUAGAUCCAAGUUCAGGGGAUGUAGCUCAGGGAUGAAAUGCCUGCAUGUGUGAGGCCCUCAGCUGGGUCCCCAGCAACUCUCCAGUGACAGAACAAGUCACUUUGGGAGGGAGGACUGAGUAACUCCCAUCUCCCAAGGAGAUGACCACCCUCUGCCCUUAGCCAUGGACCUCUGUGCAGGGGCAGAACACCUUAGUCCAGGCAUUCUAUCCCCAACCUGCAACUCCCCUGAAAAGGUAGUCUCCACCUCCAGAGACCUGACCUUCACACCCUGACUGUUGACAGAGGCCUGGAAACCCCUGCAGGGAAAAAGAAACUUGGCCACCUAUAAAAUGUGCCCAGUUUCUGGGGAAGCUUUUUUUCAGGGAUAUAUGUGAUGUCUCCAGACUAACCAAAGGAUAGGGGCUGCCAAGUUGUUGCUGGGGGUCACCUCACUAUCUUCAAAGGAAAAGCCUCCUUCCUUCGAGGUUCUGUGGCUGGCUUUUCUGCUAAGGGGGCAUCGUCACCUCUCCUCUUGGUCUUGGGCUGAUCAAACAUGGCCCAGAUUCUAACAUUUGCCACAUCUCUCUUCCCAUCCUUCUCUACCCUCCCAGAUUCCCUAACAUGUCCUUCCUGCUUGAGAGCACCUCCUAAUAGUUUUCUCCCCUGAGCUGGGGAAGACUUGAACUACUAAAUUGGCUUCCGGAAUCAAUCUGAGUCCUUGGUUUUUGGUCUGGAGAAAAAAAAAAAAAAUCAGGAUUUCCUUGGGACUUUUCAAAUUCCAGAUAAUAGCCCAUAGAAUCCCAUUACUUCUUGAGAGCCCCAAUGAGAGAUCGCUGUUUGGUGGUACCCAUGAAAUGUGAUAACCAUUGUAUCAUGAAUCCUGCUAAAAUACCUCUGAUGGGGGCUGGAGAGCCAGAUCAACAGUUAAGAGCACUUGAUCCUGCCUUAGACCUAAGUUGGCAUGCAUGUGGUACACAGUCAUACAUGCAAGCAAAAGAAUAAUACACAUACAUAUAGUUUGAUUAAAUAAAUCUAAAAACAUUAGGGAAAACAUCUCCGAUGAUGGCAAAAAGCAGCAUCUACUGACUGCAUAUAAAGCAUUUCAUUAACUUUUCUUAGUCCUCAUAGCCGCUUAAACCGUGGCUAAUUCUAUGAUGCCUGUUACCUGAAAGGAAAUGAAGGCCCUGAAAUUUUGAGAAACUCCCCUCAGGUCACAGGGUAGGUUAAUCGCAGAGUCCCACGGAGAAAGUCUUUGUUAACUAAUGCUCCACCUCUCACCACGCUAGUGGUGUGGCCUCUCCUGCCUGGCCAUCAGCCUUGCCUACAGCAGAGUCUUUGCGUGUCCGUCCCAUCUCAGGACAUCUUUCAAACAUCAAUUCAAAACAUCUUUCCCUCUGCCUCUACAAACACGACUCCUCAGGAAUCACUUCCUUCUCUACAGCCAACUAACUCAGCUAACCCCCAUCCUCACUGGCCCGAGAUGGCUUGCGAGCCUCCCAAAGGACUAGGUACCCGCCUGCACCCUUCAGACACAUUAUUAGGGGGUGCGGGGCUAGAGGGAUCUUCUGGGCAACUACGUAGUGUCAUGGUACUCCCUUGGAGUGGAGAGGCACUAAGUAGCAAUUGAGAGCAGGCCAUGUGGAUGGAGAAUUCCUGGGAAGCAAUGUGGGAAGGAGCCCUGGGGAGCUAAGGAGUCCUUAGCCCAGAGGUCUCCACUACUUCCGUGCUCUUUAAUAAAGACACACGAAGCGUGACGAAGACCCUAGCAAAUACUAUUUCACCAUGGACACUGUGGGGAACAGGGGAUCCCACCAUCCAAAGUCAGGCAGGUGCACAAACCCCAACCCCGGGAGGUGAAGCACAGGAAGUGGGAUCCCUUGAUGGCCGACCCUUGAAGCAAGAGCUUUUUACUACCGUUAGCAGGGCACUCAUAAGCCUCCAGAAGAGCUGGCCUGAGGACACAGGGAUGCAGCAGCCGCCUCGGGAGAGGGUGAGUCACAUGACGAGACAGGCCUGAACGAGCUAGACGUUCCUCCAUAGAGGAACACGGAGACAAUUAGAGAAAGGGGUCCAGCCGACACCCCCCGGGGGGUACCGUAAGGGAACGCCAGGAGGGGGUACCCUGUGUCAAUGCUCUCUG